rnacentral:ncRNA from 2 species
AACAGGCCGUACCUCUACCGUCUUUCGUGAGUUACGAAGCGAAGCUGGCGAAAAUCCAGCACGGUCGCGCCACUGUGAUCAGCCUCCCAAUGCCUGAAGCUGAGAGUCAGACCGCUGUGUAUCUCGUUUUUAA